rnacentral:rRNA from 1 species
UACGUAGGGUGCAAGCGUUGUCCGGAAUUAUUGGGCGUAAAGGGCGCGUAGGCGGUGCGGUAAGUCACCUGUGAAAACUCUGGGCUCAACUCAGAGCCUGCAGGCGAAACUGCCGUGCUUGAGUGUGGGAGAGGUGCGUGGAAUUCCCGGUGUAGCGGUGAAAUUCGUAGAUAUCGGGAGGAAUACCAGUGGCGAAGGCGGCGACCUGGGCCAAUACUGACGCUGAGGUGCGAAAGCGUGGGGAGCAAACAGG